rnacentral:rRNA from 1 species
UACGUAGGGCGCAAGCGUUGUCCGGAAUUAUUGGGCGUAAAGAGCUCGUAGGUGGCUGGUCGCGUCUGCCGUGAAAGCCCGCAGCUUAACUGCGGGUCUGCGGUGGAUACGGGCCGGCUAGAGGUAGGUAGGGGCAAGUGGAAUUCCUGGUGUAGCGGUGAAAUGCGCAGAUAUCAGGAGGAACACCGGUGGCGAAGGCGGCUUGCUGGGCCUUACCUGACGCUGAGGAGCGAAAGCGUGGGGAGCGAACAGGAUUAGAUACCCUGGUAGUCCACGCUGUAAACGUUGGGCGCUAGGUGUGGGGGUCUUCCACGAUCUCCGUGCCGGAGCUAACGCAUUAAGCGCCCCGCCUGGGGAGUACGGCCGCAAGGCUAAA